rnacentral:lncRNA from 1 species
UUUUUUUUUUUUUUUUUUUUUGGUAAUUAUUUCCAUAUAAGUUGCAGAUAUCACAACACUUUGUCACCAAAUCCUUCAGAUGCCUCUGUAAAGACUAAAUCAUUUUCUGGGCUGGAGAAAUAGCUCAGAGGAUCUGGGUUUGAUUCCCAGCAUCCACACAGGAGCUCCCAAUCAUCUGUAACCAGUGCCAGGGAAUCCUGAACCCUCUUCUGACCUUGGGUAUCAGGCAUACAUGUAGUGUAACAGAUAUACACGUAGGCAAAACUCCAAUACAAAUACUUUUUUUAGAAAUUAAUAUAUAUGUGUGUAUAUAUAUUUAAAAGAUUAAAUUCUAAAAUUUAAAAUUUAAAAGAUUCAUUUUCUAUGUAGUUCAUGUAAUAUCUGGGACAUAAUUAUACUUAAGAAACUGUUGUUUCCAUGAAAGAUGAUUGUAUUUGCUAAAUCUGGUCACUGCAGCAGGCUGUAUGGUAAGCAAACCUGGGCUUUGCUACACUGUAGACCAGGGCUUGUCCAGACAUGAUUUAACAUACUGGCUUGCAACUUGCAGAAGUCUGUGCUUUUGUUUCUUUGUCUACAAAAUUGGAGUUUUCUUUCCAUUGCUCUUUUGGUGUUUGACUUCGAUACAAAUUGCAAAACUGGAAAUUCUUAUCUUGUAGGACCUAUACUUAAAGCUCAGAUACAAUGAGGCCUCUAGCACAGCCCCAGAGUCUGGCAGGUACCCAGUAGGCAGCUGGCUGUGCUGGCAGCGUGACUGUUUGUGAGCCGAUGCAGGAAAAGAUAAAGAUAAAGACACACUGCUUUUAGAAAUGUCGGCAGUUGCAUAUACAGCUUCUCUUUGCUCUCUUGUUCCCCCUUAGUCACAUGCACAAAACACACAUGGAUGUACACACACACACACACACACACACACAUGCACACAUGCACACAUACACAUACACAGAAACAUACAGAUACAAACACACAGACGUACAUGUACACAUACAUACACACAUGCACAGACACAUAGACACACAUAUUUAGACACACACACACACACACACACACACACACACACACACAAGGCCCAGGGCCUCUUCUGGGAUUUACAGAGGGCUCCUUGACUAGCCUAACCUGCAGCUAUAUGACACAGAACAAACAUACAAGAACUUUAUAGAAACUGGGGGAGGUUUUGAGACUAUGAAAGAGAACAGAACAGUGUAUUCAGAUGGCGUCGGUUCUAAGUAGUCAGGGCAGAGAGGUGCCAUGGGUCAGGCUGACCACAGGGAGAACACCAGGGUGUGCCAGAGUCCGCUACCAACGGUGACGCAGGCAAGCUGUCAAGGACUGUUUCAGUGCUAGCCAGGAGUGUUUUCAUUUGCUCUGUUUAAGGAGACGGGGUUUCUAAAGGCUUAUUUUUAUCCUAAACCUCAGAAAGACAAGUUUAGAGAUGCCCGAGAAAUCUGGCUUCCACCCUUUCUGGAAGGAGUUCUGCCUUCUUUCUUUCUGGAAAGUCCCCCCACUUUGUAUUUUUUAUACCUUGGGUUGCCAGAGCUGGCUGAAACCAAGUGGUAUAAACCCAGCUGCUUACCCAGCUGUUCAGCUCUCCCUUGCAGGAGGUUCUGGGGGGGGGGGGUUGUAAUUUUGUAGAUGAUCUUUUUAACAUAUAAGUGAGAUCCCAAGUCCUUUCUUCUCUGUACAGAACUUCCCUCCCCCAUGCUGGACCAUAGCUGGCCUCCAGGUGAGGCCCUCUGCUCACUGGCUGAUACGGCCACUCCUAGGCACCCCCACUUCUCCUGACACUGUUCUCUAGCCUUGACCACUCCUCCCAGGGAAUGAAACUUAAGCCUAACCCUUGAGACUCCUGCAAACAAAACAUCCCUAUUAGCUUUUGCCCUUGGCAACAGUCCCUUCUCCAUUUACAGUAAUGCUUUCAAGUAGCCUCUCCAGACCCAAGCCAGAUUUGUGUUGCCCACUCCCAACUCCUCCAACCCUCCAACUUCCAGGAAUUGAGUUUAGAGCCUUCCACGUGCUAGGCAAGGUAAAUGCUACACUGUUUCGAGAAGUCAACAGCCAACUCAGCUGGUUACAUGCUGAAGAGCUGAAUUUUCCGGUUUAGUUUGCUGAUUUCAUCCCUAAUGACUUCCGUUAUUAGGUGUUUCCUGUGCUGACCACUCCAUUCUUUGUUUUGUUUUGUUUUUUUCGAGACAGGGUUUCUGUGUGUAGCCCUGGCUGUCCUGGAACUCACUUUGUAAUGACCACUCCAUUCUUAAGUGAUACCUCUGUGCUGUCCAAUGGAAAGUACAGGUUUCUUCCAGUACAGGUUUCCUCGGGGCGUUUGUGGAGAAGAAACAGUUAUUGCCCUGCCUUUUUCUAGAAAGUUUUGGACCAGAAAAAGCGAUCUCUGGAAGAUGAAGUAAUUAUUAUUUCCAGGUUCUCCACUCUCAUAAUUCCAACACUGGUUUAAAGUAGCUUAAGUUCCUGGUACAGUUUCUAGGCAUUGGAUGAAUAGUUUCUGAUAGACUGUCAAAAACCGUAUACGAGAGAUGUAUAGGAAGAGACGUUCUUGUAAUUCAAGUGUAUACCUAGUCUGCUUUCUUCAGCUUACUGCCCCUCUGCCCUCAGCUAGUUUAGGCUUGAGGUCAGGAAAUAAGAUAAAGCCAGAUCUUAGCCAGGCCUGUAAUCCCAGGAUUUGUGAAACUAAAGCCAGUCUGGGCUGACUCAAGGCUAACCUGUGUAACUCAGUGUUUCAAAAUAACAAUAAUAAUAAUUAAAACUUUUAUUCAGAGCUGGAGAUGUAGCUCAGUGGUUGAGUGCUUACCUAGUUUCCCACAGGGCCCUAAAUUCAAUUCCCAAUACCUAAUGGGUGAGAAAAAGAGUCACAAAGCUUUUAAAUACCUACUUCUAACAUGGACAGAGAGUUCCUGCCUGGAGAGGAUGAGCCUUGCCAAGCAGACGCUAGAGCAGGACCUCAGAAGCUGGAGGAGCCAAGGAGUCAUGUGAUUUGUUUCUGCAUUUCUAUUCCAUCAGUCACAUCUCAACCCACUGACUUAGCAAGUUAUUAGAUAGAAACGACGGCUGGACCUCCGUGCCUUAGAGGAGGUGACACAGAUACGCCAUUUAUGCCUGAGCUAGCCAAGUCACUUGUUCACCUUACUUUGACAAGUAGUAAGUCUCUGCAGGUAGCUCUGUCCACUCUAAGCAGCCGCUUCUCUGACUAAAGCUGACCGCAACAUCAUUUCCUGGGCAUAGACAUAAUUAUUUAGAAGGCAGCUGGACACAUGUCUGCUAGCUUAAAAGACACCGGGAGUUUUGGCACCAGGGCCUAUGCCUUCCAGGCUAGGAGUUUUGGCAGGUUUACAAUGCCAAAUAUGAAUUCUGUCUUGUGGAGCAGGCUUCAAAUCUAAUCAGAAAGUGGUUGGUUAUUCCCCUAACAAGCUUGCCACUAUUGCGCCAGUAGGUGAAAUUUUGCUUGGCCAGUCAGUGACACUCAGGGGUCACAUCUGAGUAAGACUGUUGGGUAAUUCUUCUUCACUCUGGGCUAUUGGCUCUAGCUAGCAGUGAGGGAGCCUCUGGCCCUAUUCCACGGUGAUUUCUCCAUCCUGUGACUGAAGCAUAUGUUCUCACUUAGUUCUGUUAGGCAACCAAGAGCAGUAGCAGUUGUCUGUAUUGUUCUGGAAGCCUCAGAGGUCUCCCCGAACAACAACUCAUAGGGAGGUAGCCCAAUUCUGACACUGGAUUUUCAUUUAAUAACCUAUGGUUUCUGGGAGCAUUUUAUUCCUAUGUUUUUGUUCUUAUAAGGAAACUAGUCAUAUUGGUUCCCGAGUUCAUUACCUCAUCUAACCUCAGUCACCUCUCU